rnacentral:rRNA from 1 species
UACGUAGGGUGCAAGCGUUGUUCGGAAUCAUUGGGCGUAAAGCGCGUGUAGGUGGCUUGUUAAGUCGAAUGUGAAAUCCCUGGGCUCAACCGAGGAAGUGCAUUCGAAACUGGCAAGCUAGAGGACGGCAGAGGAAGGUGGAAUUCCAAGUGUAGAGGUGAAAUUCGUAGAUAUUUGGAGGAAUACCGGUGGCGAAGGCGGCCUUCUGGACCGGUCCUGACACUGAGACGCGAAAGCGUGGGGAGCAAACAGG